rnacentral:piRNA from 1 species
UAGGGUAUGCGGAGACUCUAGUCAUCCCAGA